rnacentral:rRNA from 1 species
UACAGAGGUCUCAAGCGUUGUUCGGAUUCAUUGGGCGUAAAGGGUGCGUAGGUGGCGCCGUAAGUCAGAUGUGAAAUUUCGGAGCUUAACUCCGAAACUGCAUUUGAUACUGCGGUGCUUGAGGACUGGAGAGGAGACUGGAAUUUACGGUGUAGCAGUGAAAUGCGUAGAGAUCGUAAGGAAGACCAGUGGCGAAGGCGGGUCUCUGGACAGUUCCUGACACUGAGGCACGAAAGCGUGGGGAGCGAACCGG